rnacentral:rRNA from 1 species
GAUGAACGCUGGCGGCGUGCCUAAUACAUGCAAGUCGAGCGAACAGACGAGGAGCUUGCUCCUUUGACGUUAGCGGCGGACGGGUGAGUAACACGUAGGUAACCUACCUAUAAGACUGGGAUAACUUCGGGAAACCGGAGCUAAUACCGGAUAAUAUUUCGAACCGCAUGGUUCGAUAGUGAAAGAUGGCUUUGCUAUCACUUAUAGAUGGACCUGCGCCGUAUUAGCUAGUUGGUAAGGUAACGGCUUACCAAGGCAACGAUACGUAGCCGACCUGAGAGGGUGAUCGGCCACACUGGAACUGAGACACGGUCCAGACUCCUACGGGAGGCAGCAGUAGGGAAUCUUCCGCAAUGGGCGAAAGCCUGACGGAGCAACGCCGCGUGAGUGAUGAAGGUCUUCGGAUCGUAAAACUCUGUUAUUAGGGAAGAACAAACGUGUAAGUAACAGUGCACGUCUUGACGGUACCUAAUCAGAAAGCCACGGCUAACUACGUG